rnacentral:rRNA from 1 species
UUUACCUUUGGGCUCGGAAUAACUUUGCGAAAGCGAGGCUAAUACCGGAUGAGACCCCGCUCAUGAUUUGAGCGAGGCCAAAGUAGGGGACCCCAACAGGGCCUUACACCUGAAGAGAAGCCUGCGACCUAUCAGCUUGUUGGUGAGGUAAUGGCUCACCAAGGCUAAGACGGGUAGCUGGUCUGAGAGGAUGGUCAGCCACACUGGGACUGAGACACUGCCCAGACUCCUACGGGAGGCUGCAGUCGAGAAUCUUUUGCAAUGCCCGCAAGGGUGACAAUGCGACGCCGCGUGAGCGAUGAAGGUCUUCGGAUCGUAAAGCUCUGUCAGCUCGGAUGAAUAUUUGCUUUCUAACAAAAAGCGAAGAUGACAGUACGGGCAGAGGAAGCCACGGCUAACUCCGUGCCAGCAGCCGCGGUAAUACGGAGGUGGCAAGCGUUGUUCGGAUUUAUUGGGUGUAAAGGGUAUGUAGGUGUCCUGACAAGUCAAAUGUGAAAGCCCUGGGCUCAACCCAGGAACUGCAUUCGAUACUGUCAGGAUUGAGUAUGGUAGAGGAGAGUGGAAUUCCCGGUGUAAGGGUAAAAUCUGUAGAUAUCGGGAGGAACACCAGUGGCGAAAGCGGCUCUCUGGGCCAAUACUGACACUGAAAUACGAAAGCAAGAGGAGCAAACAGGAUUAGAUACCCUGGUAGUUCUUGCAGUAAACGAUGGUCACUAGGUGCCGGCCGCAAGGUCGGUGCUGCAGCAAACGCAUUAAGUGACCCACCUGGGGAGUACGGCGGCAACGUUGAAACUCAAAGGAAUUGACGGGGACCCGCACAAGCGGUGGAGCAUGUGGUUUAAUACGACGAUACGCGUGGAACCUUACCAGGACUUGACAUGCUUGAAGUAGGAGCCUGAAAGGGUAACGACCCGUUAAGUCGGGAACUUGCACAGGUGUUGCAUGGCUGUCGUCAGCUCGUGUCGUGAGAUGUUGGGUUAAGUCCCGCAACGAGCGCAACCAUUAUCAGUAGUUGCCACUCCGUCUACGGAAGCACUCUACUGAGACUGCCAGUGUUUAACUGGAGGAAGGCGGUGACGACGUCAAGUCAGUACGGCCCUUACGUCCUGGGCUACACACGUGCUACAAUGGCCGGUACAAUGAGACGCUAUACCGCGAGGUGGAGCAAAUCUCAAAAAGCCGGUCUCAGUUCGGAUUGAAGGCUGCAAUUCGCCUUCAUGAAGCUGGAAUCGCUAGUAACCGCAGAUCAGCUAUGCUGCGGUGAAUACGUUCCCGGGUCUUGUACACACCGCCCGUCAAGUCACCUGAGUCGAUUGCACCCGAAGUCAUUAUCCUGACUCGCAAGAGGGGGAGAUGCCGAAGGUGUGGUUGGUGAGGAGGACUAAGUCGUAACAAGGUA